rnacentral:rRNA from 1 species
GAUGAACGCUGGCGGCGUGCCUAAUACAUGCAAGUCGAGCGAACAGACGAGGAGCUUGCUCCUCUGACGUUAGCGGCGGACGGGUGAGUAACACGUGGAUAACCUACCUAUAAGACUGGGAUAACUUCGGGAAACCGGAGCUAAUACCGGAUAAUAUAUUGAACCUCAUGGUUCAAUAGUGAAAGACGGUUUUGCUGUCACUUAUAGAUGGAUCCGCGCCGCAUUAGCUAGUUGGUAAGGUAACGGCUUACCAAGGCAACGAUGCGUAGCCGACCUGAGAGGGUGAUCGGCCACACUGGAACUGAGACACGGUCCAGACUCCGACGGGAGGCAGCAGUAGGGAAUCUUCCGCAAUGGGCGAAAGCCUGACGGAGCAACGCCGCGUGAGUGAUGAAGGUCUUCGGAUCGUAAAACUCUGUUAGUAGGGAAGAACAAAUGAGUAAGUAACUAUGCACGUCUUGACGGUACCUAAUCAGAAAGCCACGGCUAACUACGUG